rnacentral:sRNA from 1 species
UAUGCAUGUGAUUCUGCGUCUGUCCAACU